rnacentral:rRNA from 1 species
AGCAGCCGCGGUAAUUCCAGCUCCAAUAGCGUAUAUUAAAGUUGUUGCAGUUAAAAAGCUCGUAGUUGAAUUUCGGGAUUUAUCCGUCGGUCGGGCUUUUGGGUCUGUACUGGCGUGAUGAAUUCCUACCUUCUGAAUAACCGGCAUGUCAUUAAUUUGGUGCGCUGGGGAAGCAGGACUGUUACCUUGAAAAAAUUGAGUGCUUAAAGCAGGCUAUUGCCUGAAUACAUUAGCAUGGAAUAAUGAAAUAGGACGGCAUGGUUCUAUUUUGUUGGUUUCUAGGAUCACCGUAAUGAUUAAUAGGGAUAGUUGGGGGCAUUAGUAUUCAAUUGUCAGAGGUGAAAUUCUUGGAUUUAUUGAAGACUAACUUCUGCGAAAGCAUUUGCCAAGGAUGUUUUCAUUAAUCAAGAACGAAAGUUAGGGGAUCGAAGACGAUCAGAUACCGUCGUAGUCUUAAACCAUAAAACUAUGACCGACUAGGGAUCGGACGAUGUUAAUUUUUAAUGACUUCGUUCGGCGU